CAUUAACGAAUAUAAUUCGAGGGGUUGUCGCUGGCCUCGCUCGCGCGAGGCAUGUGCAUGCUUCUCGUUUUUCUCUCAACUCACCUGUGCACCUAAUGUAGGAUGCCUCUCCUCCGGGAGGGGGGACCUAUGUCUUCGUAACAUCUUCGUGUAGAAAGUCUUUGAAUGUUUACUAUCAUCGAGUCGCGACUUCUAGGAGACGCGAUUCUUUGAGAUAAAAGUUAUUACAACUUUC
rnacentral:rRNA from 1 species